GAUGAACGCUGGCGGCGUGCCUAAUACAUGCAAGGCGAGCGAACAGACGAGGAGCUUGCUCCUCUGACGUUAGCGGCGGACGGGUGAGUAACACGUGGAUAACCUACCGAUAAGACUGGGAUAACUUCGGGAAACCGGAGCUAAUACCGGAUAAUAUAUUGAACUGCAUGGUUCAAUAGUGAAAUACGGUUUUGCUGUCACUUAUAGAUGGAUCCGCGCCGCAUUAGCUAGUUGGUAAGGUAACGGCUUACCAAGGCAACGAUGCGUAGCCGACCUGAGAGGGUGAUCGGCCACACUGGACCUGAGACACGGUCCAGACUCCUACGGGCGCCCGCAGCAGGCACGCUUCCGCACCGAGCGAAAGCCUGAUGCAGCCACACCGCGGGCGUAAUGAAGAUCUUCGGACCGUAAACAUCUGUUCCAACGCACCAAACACUGUGUAAGUAACUAUGCAUAGCUUGACCGUACCAAAUAAGACAGACACGGAUAACUACAUG
rnacentral:rRNA from 1 species